UUCAGCCUUCAAAUUAUUUGGUUUGGCGCUUCCGUCACUACGUAAAUUGGUUUAGAAUAGUUUUACGGUAGAAUAAAAGUUUAAACAUAUUUUAGAAUCUAUAGUGCAUGUUAUGUUUUAUUUUAAGUGAUUUUAUUAAAAAAUGUCUGAGGAAGAGUUAUUGCCCGAACCAACAAUAGCUAAGUCUGGUGAAAUAAAAGCCAUUGCAAAGGAUACAGUGCACAGGAUUUGUUCGGGCCAGGUAGUACUGACUUUAGCUGUAGCUGUUAAAGAACUUGUGGAAAACUCUAUUGAUGCUGGUGCAACGUUGGUAGAAGUGAAACUGCGAGAACAUGGUUUGGAUUUGUUGGAAGUUAGUGAUAAUGGCAGUGGAGUUCAUGAACGUGACCUUGAAGCUAUGACUGCUAAAUAUCACACCUCAAAAAUAAAGGAAUUUGUAGAUUUGCAAAGUGUUGACACAUUUGGUUUUCGCGGCGAAGCGCUUAGUUCACUUUGCGCCCUCGCCGAUUUGGUAGUUGUAACAAGACAUGCCGCACACGAUGUAGGUGUUCGUAUCGAGUUGGAUCAUGAGGGUAAAAUUAAAAAGCGUUCCCCUUGCGCUCGGAGUGUUGGAACUACCGUAACACUCACGAAUCUCUUUGCUACACUUCCUGUGAGGCGUCGAGAUUUUACACGUAACAUACGUAAGGAGUUCAAUAAAAUGUGUCAGAUUCUGCAAGCCUAUUGUCUUGUAACUCGUGGGGUACGCAUUAUUUGUACGAACCAAAAUGCCAAAGGCGCUAAAAUGGUUGUUAUGCAAACAAACGGAUCUCAGGAUAUCUUGGCAAAUAUUGGUGCUGUUUUCGGUAAUAGACAGCAAGCAGAACUCAUACCUAUAAAGCCCAUCUGUACCGACGAACAGGUCGUAACUGAAGAAAGUUUACGAGCAGAGUUGCAAUUGGAUAUCAGCGCCAACGAUAGCCUGCAAAUAUCUGCAGAAGAUGUCGAGCAAUUGAAAGCAGCGCAAUUUCAAUUAGAUGGAUACGUGUCCAGCUGCAGUCAUGGCUCUGGGAGAUCGUCAAAAGAUCGUCAAUAUUUUUACGUAAACUCUAGACCGUGCGAUCCAAAAAACAUCUCGAAAAUCGUUAAUGAAACCUAUCACCGUUAUAACAGCCACCAAAAUCCUUUUAUAUUUUUAAACAUCAUUACUGCACGCUCAGAUGUGGAUGUAAAUUUAACGCCAGACAAGCGUCAGGUGUUAGUAAAUAAUGAAAAAAUUUUAUUAUUAGCUAUUAAAAAAGCUUUGGUCAACACUUUUGGAUCAAUACCUUCUACUUUUAAGCUUCAAAACUCUACUAUAGUAAGCAUGUUCAAAAAGGAUAAUGGAAAUACCAUAAAUGGCGAACUAGCAGCAAAUGAAAGCACCGAAGAACUAGUGGAAAAUGUGCCAUUAAGUAGUUCACAACGUUUUAUGGAUGUAUUAUCACAGUGGAAAAAAACUGGCCACACCGCAGGUAUAGCACCACAUCUCCCUAAGAAACGCAAAUGUGCCGAAGAAGUAGAAGUGCGCACGUUAAAAUUAAAGAAAAUCCAUGACUAUUUAAAUAAAGAUUUGGCAAAUCAAUGCGAUAUAUCUAAAGAGUUCAGAGUACAUUCGGAUGAUGAUGACGAGGAAAAUAGUAAAAAGAAUAAGGAUAACAACGUUAGCACGAUUGAUAAUAGUUUGCUUGACAUUGAAAGGCUGAGUAAGGAAUCUAAAGAGUUUGAUUCGCUAACUGAAAAUAGAGUGGAGCGUAUAGACUGUAAAGUGAUACGUAUAAAACCAGAAUCUUCACUGAAUUUCAUAGAAAAAUGUCCGCCGCAUGUUGAUAAAUGUGAAACGCUUAAAGACGACAAUAGUGACCACCUUAGUCUUGAAAAUCCGGAUGAUGAAAAUUCUUUGACUUCCUCACCCUCAUCAGUAACACACAAAACAAUUUUAGAUGAUAGCAUAACUGAGGCAGAAUUGUCGGCCAGCUACUACUCCACUGACGUUAUGCGAGUUACAAUCGAAGAGAUUCAGCAAAAUCUGAAAGCGGAGGAAAAAUUACGAAAUGAAAAGAAAAAGUCGAACAAAGCUAGAUUAGAGCGUUUGCGUUUCAAAAGUGAAAUAAAUCCCAGUCAAAAUCAAAAGGCAGAGGAAGAAUUGCAGCGUGAAAUCAGCAAGGAUACUUUUGCUAAAAUGGAAAUUAUAGGACAAUUCAAUUUGGGUUUCAUUAUUGUGAAAUUGGAUACCGAUCUUUUCAUUAUCGACCAGCAUGCCACCGAUGAGAAAUAUAAUUUUGAGAUGUUACAACGUUCGACGGUAAUGCAAUCGCAGCCGUUAGCUGUGCCACAAUUUUUGGAUUUGACAGCCGUGAAUGAGAUGCUGCUGCUGGAUAAUUUGGCGGUGUUUGAGAAAAAUGGUUUUAAAUUUGAUAUUGACGAAACUGCGCCGCCAACCAAAAAAGUGAAAUUGCUCUGUAAGCCUUCUAGCCAACGUUGGGAGUUUGGCAAAGAAGAUAUCGACGAAUUACUUUUCAUGCUACAGGAUGCGCCAGCUGGUACUGUAUGUCGGCCAUCGCGUAUACGCGACAUGUUUGCAUCGCGAGCCUGCCGCAAAUCGGUGAUGAUUGGUACCGCACUAAAAAGAACGACUAUGAUGAAAUUAGUCACGCAUAUGGGCGAAAUAGAGCAACCAUGGGUUCUCUUUUAUUUUAUUUUCUAUUUAGAGGAUUAAGCAACAUUUUAACGGGAAGCACGAAUCCUUUGGCUUUUGUUAUACCGUUAUUAGUGAGUGCACUUCUUAUUUCCCUUAGCGAAGACAACAUAUCAAACCCAAGCAACUAAUAGCCUAAAAGGGCUGCAUGUCUUCGUUAGACACCAGAUGGGCUUGCAGCAUAACGCUUGUAAAAGCGCUACUGUUAACGUUUAUAGUAUACUAGUGAACGCUCCAAUGGAAAACUUUACAACGCCUCGGAUGUACUGAGGCCCAGAAUAUAUUGAAUUCAUGGAGGGUACAACGCCAGAAGAUGGCGAGGCCGAUUCCCUAAGGAUGACAAAGGAACAAAUGUUUCAUUGCCCGAUUAUGUCUGCAACAAUUACGGUGGAAUAAACCUCUUUAACAUCGCAUAUAAAGCCCUUUCCAGCACAUUGUGUGACAGACUAAAGCCCACCAUCAACAAACUGUUUGGACCUUAUCAG